UACGGAGGUGGCAAGCGUUGCUUGGAAUCACUGGGCGUAAAGGGCGCGUAGGCGGGGGGGUAAGUCGGGUGUGAAAUCCCUCGGCCCAACCGAGGAACUGCGCCCGAGACUGCUUCUCUUGAGUCCCGGAGAGGAAGAUGGAAUUCCCGGUGUAGCGGUGAAAUGUGUAGAGAUCGGGAGGAACACCGGUGGCGAAGGCGGUCUUCUGGACGGUGACUGACGCUGAGGCGCGAAAGCGUGGGGAGCAAACGGG
rnacentral:rRNA from 1 species